UCCCUAGUGUGCAGGUAGAAGUCUGGAGCUGCUCUUGGCCCUAGCAUAUUCUAUAUGACUCUGUGAAAGGUUCAUUUCUCUUCCAAGGUUUAUAUGUAACUAGCACAAAAUAUGGCUUACCUUUAAUUCAAUUAAAUAAGCAAUGAAUUAAGCCUUGCUUUGGUAAUUUUUGUGGACAGGUAUAGGUAGGGCAGGACUCCUUACAUUUUAGCAGUGCUUUUCCCUCAGGUUUUUCCCCAAACUAUUUUCUUAACCUGAAUUCUUGUGUCCUCUUGAUCCUUUCUUAAUAGCCAUUAAUGGAGUACAAUGUCUUUCUUUCUCUUAUUUGCUAUGCAUGUUCAUUCCUCAUGAGAACUGGAAGUAUAAACCUGGUUCCUACUUUUUGUCUAGUAAUCAUAAUCCUUUCUAAGAGAUGUUAGAAAAACAUCAUUGACAUUAAAAUUCAUAAAGACAUGACUCCUAGAUCUCAACCUAAAACUAUGACAAUAUUUUAAACAAACUUCCUAACACUUUGCUAAGUAAUUAUCAUUUUUCAAGUGCAAUACUGUCAUAAUGCCAUUUGACAUUUUCAGUUUUAACUAAAUUAUAUAGUAUUCAUUUUUUUCUUUGUAGCAGAAGCAAUUUUUAUGUUGUAGGGUUAUAAAUAUUGGGCCAACUUUCCUCAGCUAAAACAGAGCACUAGAGCAAGCACCAAGAUAAUUUAGGCCAACUGUUCACAACUUUUAUUCUGACCUAACACAUAAGAUAGAGGACAUUUGUUUAUACAACAUUCCUACAAGCAUAUCCAGGGAUAUUUCACAUUCUCAGCCACCUAGCUAUAUACCUCCACUUAUUUCUCUCCCACAGAGAAAAGCUUAUCAUUAUGCGAAAAUGAACAUGACAUCAUUAAAAGCCCAAUGGUGUAGCGUUAACCCCUUGAAUUUGUCUUGUAAAGUAAAUUAAUACAUUAAUACUUAAAACUCUUUCAAAGCACCUAAAAAUGUGUAAAAUAACUAAGAAGAGUUUAUGAAGUAACAUAUAGAAGUCUAUUAAAAGAUCACAAGAGAUUAUCUAAUGCAAAGCCGUAAGUAACCUUGCCAUUAAGUUCACCUGUGCAGUUCACGACACAAAAAGUAGCAUUUUUCAGUGAUUGACCAAAUGACAAGAACCUCUUUUACAUAUAUUUAAGAAAAAAUAUACUAUAUAAAGACAUAUUUCAAAAAGACUUCGGGUAAUUCUGAAAACGUCUUUGAAAAAGAACCUAAUAUUGCCAUGGAAAUUUGCAAAGAAGUAACCUUUGAAUUAAUUUCUUCUACUAUAUUUAAAACAACUGCUACUGGUAAUGUAUAAGCUAUUUAACCGAUUCUUACUAUCAGGUUUAUUAAGAACUGAAGAUUCCAACCUAACAUCUUUGAACUAAUCCAAAGACACUAGUUUUAGUAAUAUAUUGCCAGAAAAAAUUAAUCAAGUUUCAUUCAGAAAAUUAUUUAUAACUUUAGUUUAAAAAAUUCCAUAUAUCACUGGAAUUAAGGUAGUAUAAAACUAAAAUUGAUUCUCAUAAGUUAAGAUGUAUAUGAGAAACCCUAGAGCAACUAUCAAAAAAUAAAUAAAAAUACAAUGACAAAGCGGUUAAAGACAUUUAAAUGCUACAUUAGAAAAUAUUCACUUAAUGCAAAAGCAAGCAGUAAAGGGGAAAUAAAGGAAUAAAAAAGGCAUGAAACACAAAACAAAAAGUUAAAUGGCAGACAUUAAACCCAGCUAUACCAAUAAGAACAUUAAAUGUGAAUGGAUUUAACAAUCCAGACAAAAGGCAGAGACUGUCAGAUUGGGGAAAAAAAUAAGAUUUGACUAUACACCAUAUACAAGGGAUACACUUUAAACUGAAAGAUAUGAAUUGAUUAAAAGUUAAAGGAUAGAAGAAGAUAGAAUCAUGUAAACAGCAACCACAAGAAAGUUAUACUAAUAUCAGAAAAAAUAGACUUUAAAACAAAAAUAUUAUUAGAGACAAAAAGGGACAUUUUAAAAAGGACAUAUGCACAUGACAAUUACAAUCAUAUAUAUCAAAGCGCCAAAAUAUAUCAAACAAAACCUGAAAGGAAUGUAGGGAGAAAUAAAAACUCAGCAGCAAUAGUUGGAGGACUUUAGGGACACUUGGGUGGCUCAGUUGGUUAAGCAUCCAACUCUUAAUUUCACCACAAGUCAUGAUCACAAGUUUGUGAGUUCGAGCGCCACAUCAAACUGUUAGUGCUGAGCCUGCUUGGGAUUCUCUCUCUCCCUCUCUCUCAAAAUAAAUAAAUAAAAAAAAAGUAGUUGGAAGAUUUCAAUACUCUUCUUUCAUUAAUGACUGAACAACUAGAAUAAACCAUUAAUGGAUACAUAAACAAGGAUAUAUUUGAACACAAUAAACAACCAGACCUAACAGACAUCUAUAGAACACUCCACCCAGCAACAGAAUAUACUUUUUUUCUUAAUGCACACGUGAACAUUCUCCAGGAUAAAUAUGUUAAGCCACAAAACAAACCUCAAUAAAUGUAAGAGGAUAGAAAUAAUACAAAGUAUGUCCCCUGGCCACAAUAGAAUGAAAUUAGAAAUCAAUAGCAGGAGAAAAAAUUGGUUAACUCACAAACAUAUGGAAAUUAACACACUCCUAAAUAGCCAAUGGGUCAAAGAAGAAAUCAAAAGAGACAUCAGAAAAUACUUUGAUAUGGAUAAAAAUGAAAAAAAAAAUACCAAAAUUAAUGAGAUGCAUAUGAAGGAGUGCUUACAGGAAAAUUUAUAGCUGUAAAUGACUAUAUUAAGAAGAAAGAUCUCAAAUCAAUAACCUAACCUUCCACAUUAAGAUACCAGAAAAAGAAGUACAACUAAACCUAAAGCAAGAAGGACAGAAAUAAUAAAGAUCAGGGUAGAAAUGAAUGAAAAAGGAAUAGAAAAACAACAAAGAAAAAUCAGUGACACCAAACCCUAGUUCUUUGUUAUGAUCAACAAAAUUGGAAAAAAAAAGAGAGAAGACUUCCAUUAGUAGGAUCAGAAAUGAAAAAGGGGGCCGCCUGGGUGGCUCAGUAGGUUGGGCAUCCGAUUUCAGCUCAGGUCAUGAUCUCACCGUCCAUAGGUUCAAGCCCCGCAUCAGACUCUGUGCUGACAGCUCGGAGCCUGGAGCCUGCUUUGGAUUCUGUGUCUCCCUCUCUCUCUGCCCCUCCCCCGCUCAAGCUCUGUCUCUGUCUCUCUCAAAAAUAAAUAAACAUUUAAAAAAAAAUUUUUUUUAAAGAAAUGAAAGAGAAUCAUCAUCACUGGCCUUAUAAAUAUAAAAAGGAUUAUGAAGAAAUACCAUGAACAACUGUACACCAAAAUUAGAUAACUUAGAUGAAAUGGAUAAAUUCCUAUAAAGACACAAACUAUCAAAACUGCCUCAAGAAGAAACAGACAAUCUGGAUAGACCUAUAACAAGUGAAGCAAUUGAGUUUGCAAUCAAAAAACUACUCACAAAGCCCAGGACCAGAUGGUUUCUGAAUUCUACCAAUUAAAGUGAAAACUGAAUCAACUUUGCACAAACUCUUCCAAAAAACAGAAGUGAGGAACACUUCCCAAUUCAUUUUAUGAGACCAGGAUUAUCCUGAUAUCAAAAUCACACAAAAGAUAUUACAAGAAAAGUAAAUUACAAACCAGUAUCUCUUAUGAAUACAGAUCAAAAAAAUCCUCAUCAAAAUACUAGCAAACUGAACACAUAGCAGCAUUUAAAAAGAAUUAUACACCAUGACCAAGUACAAUUUAUCCUAGAAUUUCAAAGUUGGUUUAACAUUUGAAAAUCAAGUCAUGUACUACAUUAUAUCAAUAAAUAAGAAACAAAAAUCACAUGAUCAUCUCAUUAGAUGUAGAAAGAGCAUCUGACAAAAAUCCAACACCCUUUCAUAAUAAAAAUAAAAACAACUAGGAGUGAGAUGGGAACUUCCUCAACCUGAUGAAGGGUAUCUAUGAUAAGUUAACAUCAUAGUUAAUGGUGAGUUAUUUCUCCCUAACAUCAUGAACAAGACAAGAAUAUCUGCUCUCAUCACGUCUCUUCAACACUGUGUUGGAGGUACUAGCCAGAGCAAUUAGGUAAAUGAAUGAAUGAACGAAUGAAUGAAUAAAUGUCAUCUAGGUUGGAAAUGUAGAAGUAAAACUACUUCUAUUUGCAGGUGUCAUAAUCGUGUAUAAAGAAAAUCCUAGGGAAUCCACUAAAAAAACUAUUGGAAUUACUAAAUGAGGUCAGCAAGCUUGCAUGAUACAAGAUGAAUCUACAAAAAUCAAUUAUAUUUUUAAUCACUUGCAAUGAACAAUCAAACAUGAAACUAAGAAAACAUUUACAAUAGCCAUCAAAAAGAUAAAAUGGGAAUAAAUUUAACAAAAGUACAAAACUUAUACUCUGAAAACUACAAAACAUUGUUGAGAAAAAUUAAAGAUUUAAAAUAAAUGGGAAAACAAGCCAUGCUCAUAAAUCAAAAGACUUAACAUUGUUAAGAUGGCUAUACUCCUCAAGGGGCACCUGGCUGGCUCACUUCGUAAAACAUCCAACUCUUGAUCUCAGGAUUGUGAGUUAAAGUCCCAUGUUGGGGCUUUUAGGGGAGAAAAAAAUGCCAAUACUGCCCAAAGCGAUCCACAAAUUCAAGGCAAUCCCUCUUAUAAUUCUGGUGUCUGAUCUUGCCAUUUUCAAUGAUGUAGAUGGAGCUAGAAUAUAUUAUGCUAAGUGAAAUAAGUCAAUCAGAGAAAGACAAAUACCAUGAUUUCAUUCAUAUGUGGAAUUUAAGAAUCAAAACAGAUUAACAUAUGGGAAGAGGGUGGGAAGAGAAGGGAGGGAAACAAACCACAAAAGACUUAAUGACAGAGAACAAACUAAGGGGUUGACAGAGGGAGGGAGGUAGGGAGAUGGGCUAGAUGAGUGAUGAGCACUAAGGAGGGCACUUUUGAUAAGCAUUGGGUGUUGUAUGUAAGUGAUGGAUGAAUCACUGAAUUCUACUCCUGAAACAAACAAACUUCUGUUUGUUUUAUAGAAACUGACAAGCUGAUUCCAAAAUUCUUAUGGAAUUGCAAAGGACUCAGAAUAGUCAAAACAAUCUUGAAAAAGAACAAAGUGGAGGACUCUCACACUUUCCAAAUUCAUUUUCUUUAAAAAAAAAAAUUUUUUUUUAUGCUUUUAUUUUUGAGAGACAGAGUGUGAGUGGGAGAGGGGCAAGAGAGAGAGAGGGAGACACAGAAUCUGAAGCAGGAUCCAGGCUCUGAGCUGUCAGCACAGAGCCCGACACAGGGCUCAAACACAUGAACCGUCAGAUCAUGCCCUGAGCCGAAGUUGGACGCUUAACCGACUAAGCCACCCAUGCACUCAUUUUCUUUUGAAUUAAGCGCUACACCCAACAUGGGGCUUGAAGUCACAACCCCAAGAUCAAGAGUCACAUGCUCCACCAACUGAGCCAGCCAGGCACCCCUCAUACUUCCCAAUUUCAAAACAUACAACAAAGCAAUUAUAGAUGAUCAAAAUGUGGUAGAGGAACAAUAAAAAGAGUGGCAUAAUAACAAUAGAGAAUCAUGACUCUCUAUUCCUACAUCUUUUGUCAACUAACAAGGUUGUCAAGAUCAUUCAAUGGGGAUAAAAUAGUCUUUUCAACAAAUGGUGAUGAAAUACCUCAAUAUUUAUAUGCAAAAGAAUGAAGAAUGUUACCUGACAACAUACACAAAACUUAACUGAAAAGGGAUCAAAGACCUAAGAGCUAACACCAUAAAACUCUUAGAAGAAAACAGGGGUAAAUCCUCAUCAUCUUAGAUUUGGCAAUGGAUUCUUAGAUAUGACAAUAAAAGCAAGAGCAACAACAACAAAACAGAUAAAUUGUCCUUUGUCAAAUUAAUAACUUUAGUACUUCAAAGACACAAUCAAGAAGACAACCCAUAGAAUGGAAGAAAACAUAGACAAAUCAUACUAUCUGAUAGGAGACUUGUAUUUAAAAUAUAUAAAAGACUCUUACAACUCAGUAAUAAAAAGACAACCCAACUUAAAAAUGGGCAAUGGAUCUAAAUAGACAUUUCUUCAAGGAAGAUAUACAAAUGGCCAACAAACAUGUGAAAAAAAAUGCUCAGCAUCAUUAGAGAUCAGGGAAAUGCAAAUAAAAACCACAGGGAGAUACCACUUCACACACCCUAGGAUGACUAGAAUCAGAAAGUCAGGUAAUAACAAGGUGUUGGCAAGAAUGUGAAGAAAUCAGAACCUUCAUCCACUGCUGGUGGGAUUGGAAAGUGGUGCAGUUGCUUUGGAAAUCUAUUUGGCAUUUCACUAAAAUGUUAAUUAUUAUAUUAACCCAGCAAUUCCUCUCAUAGGUAUAUACUCAAAAGAAAUGAAGACACAUGCCCACACAAAAUCUUGGACAUGAAUGUUUAUAGCAGCAUUAUUUAGCCAAAAGAUGGAAACAACCAAAAUGUCUAUUGAUUGACAAAUAGAUACACAAAUAUGAUGUAACUAUGCAAGGGAAAAUUUGCCCAAAAAGGAAUGACAUAAUGAUACAUGCUACAACAUGGAUAAAUCUUAUACAUUAUGCUAAGUGAAAGAAGCCAGUCACAAAAGACCAUAUAUGAUUCCAUUCAUAAGAAAAUCCAGAAUAGGGAAAUCUACAUAGAAAGUAGAUUAUUGGUUGCUUAGGGCUAGGAGGCAAAGAGGGGAGAUAGAGUAAUAGUUAAAGGGUACAGUGUUUCUUUUUGAGGUGGUAAAAUGUUCUAAAAUUGAUUGAUGAUGGUUGCACAUCUCUCUGACUGUAUGCAAACCACUGAACUAUAUACUUUUUUUGAAUUAUAUACUUUAAAACGGUUAAUUGUAUAGUAGGCAAAUUAUAUUAAUAAAGCUGUUAAAAGUUAGUGAUAAAAUCUGUUUGCUUAUGUUCAAAAUAGGGUUUUUUUUUUUGUUUUUUUUUAAUUUUUUUUUCAACGUUUAUUUAUUUUUGGGACAGAGAGAGACAGAGCAUGAACGGGGGAGGGGCAGAGAGAGAGGGAGACACAGAAUCGGAAACAGGCUCCAGGCUCUGAGCCAUCAGCCCAGAGCCUGACGCAGGGCUCGAACUCACGGACCGCGAGAUCGUGACCUGGCUGAAGUCGGACGCUUAACCGACUGCGCCACCCAGGCGCCCCUGUUUGCUUAUGUUCAAAUCAAAUAGAUUUAACUUCUGACAAUCAUCUUACAGUUUUGUACUACCAUUGCUCCCAUUCCCUCACUGGACACUUUGUACAAGGAAAAGAUUUUGUAAAAGUUCAGUAACAAGUAGCCAGUUAAACAACUAAUUUGUAAAUAAAUGGAUUUCAGAAUUAAAACAGACUGAAUAGGACUGAAAUAUUUUCUAGAUGCAUGUUAGUGGGUACUACUACUCUUAUAUGUCAGUUUACUGAAUCUCUUAAGUAUACAAAUAGUUGAAUUCUACACCACAAGGAAUCUCAAGCAGCUCACUACCACUCUAAGGGCUUCAGCUUCCCUAGGCCAGACUCCCUGAAAGGUAAUUCUGGCCUCAUCUGUCAUUGACCUGAUACCCCAAAUAUCACCGCAAUUUUUUAUAGGUUAUGUGAUAAGUAUCAUAAAGACUGGUGCCUUCCAUGUCCCUGUCUUGGGUAGAACCACUAAAAUGAAAAUUUUCCAUACUAUGUGGGUUACUUGGUCAUAUCCUGAAAUGCCAUCCCCAGAGGAAAAAAAAAACUCACAUUGUACAGAGAUACAGCAAAAAAGAAGCAAACUCAAAGUCAGAACUUGGCUCUAGAACUGAUCUAUUAGAAAUAUUAUCUUUAGACAGGGAACUUCACUUCUCUAGAUCUCCAUUUCAUUACUAUAUAAAUUAAGUGGACUAGAAGACCUAAGAUUCUGUUCAAGUCCAAAAUCCUGUAAUUCAAAACCGUGAAAUAUUAAAUCACAUGUAAAAAUAGCAUAAGUAUAAUGGUAGUUAAAACUGUAUAGAUGCAAAACCAAAAAAAAAAAAAUAGCUACCUUCAAAAACACUAGGAAACAUCUGUUCUUGGAGUAUGAGUACAAGUCUAAAUUCCAUAGAAUCAGAGAAAGAAAUCUUUCCUGAGAGUAUAUGUGAACUAACAACCAGCUAAUAACCUCCUCUACCUUCCCUUCUAGUAUCCAUGACUAUUUCAACACUGGUGCAUGUAGUGAAUUCACAAACCAAAUAAAGGUCCAAUGUAAUUACAAGGCCUAUGCCAACCAAAUCUCAGAAGAAAAUAUUAAACAUUUAAUACCCACACUUAAAUGCAUUGAUGACUGUAAGUGAACUUGUGUUUUAAAUGUAGAAUAUGCUAUAAAAAUAUAGAAUAUGCUAUAAACAAUAAACAAUAGGUUCUUCAAAAUUAGAUGGCUUCCAGUUUAUAUGUUUGACUAUUUUGUUUUUAAUAUUUUAUAAAGGCUUUGGCUAAUCCCAAAUUAUUUUUCAACUGCCAACAGCUUGAAAACAAUGCUACUUUUUCAUUGGUUUAAAAGUUAAGAGCACGUUAAAAAAGGGGCGCCUGGGUGGCUCAGUCAGUUAAGCGUCUGACUUCAGCUCAGGCCAUGAUCUCACUGCUUGUGAGUUCGAGCCCCGCAUCAGGCUCUGUGCUGACAGGUCGGAGCCUGGAGCCUGCUUCAGAUUCUGUGGCUCCCUCCCUCUCUCUCUGCCCCUCCCCCACUCACACUCUGUGUCCCUCAAAAAAUAAAUAAAUAUUAAAAAAAAAGCAUGUUAAAAAAACAGAUCAUCUAAUUCCUGUACUUAUCUCCAUUAAAUAGAAAGUAUGAAAUUAUUAUCUGAACUGUAGUCUAACCUUAACUAUGUUCCUGUUUAGUACAGCAUGAAAUCAGAAGUAUAAAUGGGUUAAACAAUCGAUGGUUUGUAACUAAUGUAUUCUGAUGGUCAGCUAUAUGGUAUAGAAUAGUACUUUAAUAGCAACAGUCUUUUCAAAUAUAAAGGCUACUUUUUUUGGUUCAAACCUUGUCCUUGUUAAAAAGUAGAAAACUGGGUUUCAAAUACGUGUACUUUCCAGAACUGCCAGGUUGUCAAUGGUUUUUGCAGAUAUCAAAAAAUGUAUACCUCAAUACAAGAAAAAAAUUUAACAGCACUUGGAGUGUUCACUUGGUUGGAACUAAAUUUAAUAACUUUUAUUCAACAGGUUCAUGCUAGAGUAAUGAACUUUCUAGGGUUCUGAUAAUCUUCUACUAAAUAAAUACACCUAUGUAUUAUACACACACACACACACAUAUAUAUGUAUAGGGAACUGUACUAGCGUACAUAUUGUCUAAAAGAACAUAUUAAAGACAUUAUAUAAAAAAUUUUACAUUUUUAAUAGGAAAACAACCUUUAUGACAGCUAAAUAGACUAUAUUUAGUUUUUAAAAAGAAAAAUUGUUCGUAAUAAGAGUAGAAUUCUAGUGAUAAAUGCACUGAAAUAAUCUUUUGAAAUAAACCACCUUUACAGAAAAUUAUUAAUGCCAGACUCUAUUAAAGUGCAUAAAAAGGAAAUUUAUUUCAGAAUUUAUACCAAAGGUGCAUUAUGGAUACAUGUGUUACUCUGGUACAGUAAGGCAGGAAGCCCAGCCUCAAUGAUAAUAUAGCCUUCAUCCUAACAUAGUCUGCCUCUUAGAAUGUGCCUCAUAAAUAGUUUGUUCCAAAAGGUGAAAAUUACAAGCGAUUUUCUCUAUUGAUAGCUUGAUGAGUAAUUUUGACAACAGAAUAAAAAAGUCUUAAUUCUUAUUUUUCUAAUUAUCUAAAGUCAUGUCAGUCUCACAAGAAAUAUCUGAUUAUUGUUUUCAAAGAAAAUUGAGAAGAGGGAUAUUUUCAGACUUUUUAAGCAAGCUAAAUCAUAAAUACCAUAUAUAAAAAUAAAAGGUAAAUUUUAGGCUACCUCUAAAUUUUAAUUUUUUUAAAAAACAUUAAAUCAUUUUAUUUGCAAUGGUGAGGUAAAGUGAUGAAAAGAAAAACUUGCACAGGUGCUUUCUUAAGAAGACCAAUGGAUAAAGCAAUUGAAUCAAGAACUGUGCACAGAGGUGCUGAAUGGACAGUCAUAGCUACCACAUCAUGCAGUUUAUUACAAAAAGUGAAACUGCUAUAGCUUUUUUAAUGUUCACUGUUGCUCUCUUAAAACCUUGCUCAAUUUUAGGGGCACCUGGGUGGCUCAGUCAGUUAAGCAUCUAACUUCGGUUCAGAUCAUGAUCUUGCAGUUGAUGAGUUCAAGCCCCACGUUGGGCUCUGUGCUGACAGCUCAGAGGCUAGAGCCUGCUUUGGAUUCUGUGUCUCCCUCUCUCUCUGCCCCUCCCCUGCUUGCACUGUCUCUAUCUCUCAAAAAUAAAUAAACAUUAAAAAAAAUUUAUAUAUAAAAAAAAGGCUUGCUCGAUUUUAAAACAAGUAUCAGAAGGAAGUCCCUUACAUAUGCUUAUUUUUCAGUGGCCUCACAUAAUGAUUCUCCCAUUUAAAGUAGUUACAUAUACACUGAUGUUUUUAUCACAAUGAAAAAAGGGAAGAAAGAAAAACAAAUGUGGGUUCAUAAGAUGGAAUCCAUGAAGAGGCUAAUAAUGGAUCCUUUGACUACAGAAAAUCAGCAACAGACUGCAAAUAUUAAUUAUAGAAAACAAGGGCACCUGGGUGGCUCAGUUGGUUAAGUGUCCGACUUUGGCUCAGGUCAUGAUCUCAGAAAUCAUGAGUUUGAGCCCCGCGUCGGGCUCUGUGCUGACAACUCAGAGCCUAGAGCCUGCUUGUUCUCUGCCCUCUCUCUCUGCCCCUCCCCUGCUUGCACUCUGUCUCUCUUAAAAAAAUAAAUUAAAAAAAAUUAAUUAUAGAAAACACUUUAUCAGUAUCAUAAAAAAAAGAGUAUGAUAAAUUUUUUCUAAAAUACUCAAUUCAUUUUUAUGAUAAUUCAAUCAAAUACUUAUAAAUUAUUCAUGUACUUUUCUGUGAGUUUUUUUUAUUAUUAAUAUUUAUGUUUUCGGGUAUUAGUUUUUCCUGCUCUUGCAUCGAAGUCCUCCCAUAAAUCCCUGGAAAGUCAUAAAUAUCCCUAUAGCCACGGGUAAACCACUAAAGUGAUAAUUCAUCAAGAUGUAUUUUUACCUAAUAAAUAAAUCUGUUGUGAGGUUAACUUCUAUUUAUAUAAAAUAAUCCCAUUUAAGCUAUGAAAAAUAAUGUUCCAUAUUGACUUUACUAUGGCUCAAACCCUCAGACAAAUAAGUAUCUCUCUGAUUGCCUGUUAAUGCAAAGAAAACUGGGUAAAUUUUAUAUUCAUAUUUAAACUACUGAAUACCUGUAAACAAAGUAGCAUUUAUUAAAAUAAACACUUAAUUUAUACUAAAUUCCACUCAGAUUUAUACAAGUUUUUCAUUCUUAAUUUUUAAAUACAUACAUGAUUUUUUUCAAACAUUUUCAGUCAGGUAUAUACAAUAGUAAAAUAUGACAUCCAAGCCAGAAUAUGAUUUUUAAAAUAAUGAACCUCUAAACAGCUAGUAAUGUACAAUGUGUAAAAUUCCAAUAAAACACAGGUAUAUUCUUACAGAAAUGUUAGUCCUAUAAUACUGAGCGAUAUUUACAAGCAAACAUGAUCCAAACAGCACAUGCAGAUUCAGGGUAAGUAAACACUCGGACACGAACUGCCAGUCGCACCUGGUCUCCACGGCAACAGAUUAUUUCUUCACAGAAAGGAGACCUACAGAAGAAAGAAGAUUUAUUCAAUUAAGAAGUGAACAUAGGUUUUACUUUUUUCCAAGUAAGUCAGCAUUUAAAAUAAUUUUGAAAAAUCCUGUCUCUGCUACCAACAGCCCUGUAAUUUUGGUUAAGCUAUCCGAAAUAUAGAACAUUUCCUCACAGUGUAUAAAUUUAAAAAAUUACACUAGAAAAGAUCAGAAAUCUUCAACUAAUAUUGCACCAAAAUCAAUGGGAAAAUUAUCCAACUACCUAGAGCUACAUUUCAGACUCACAAUCUGUGGCAAGGAAAAUAAAUCAUUAUAAAAUUUCAUUAUGUGAUUCUAAAAUCAUUCCUAAAAAACCAGACUAACAGAUUGCUAAAACUGCUAAGCCAAUAAUAACAUUUAUGAAUUCGAAAAGUCAUUCACCGAAGACAUGUGGCAAAUGCACGCCUUGCAUUUCUAUAUACAAAAUGUAUUGGGAACCCUUUAAAUGUGUGACCAUCAGGUACAGCCCUCCUUAUGGCAUCUUGAAAUUCUUCAUUGCCUGCAGAUAUACUUGUUGUACGCUCAAAUUCAUAAGAAGCCAAAGCUGGUGAUAAGAGAUAGGAAAGCUGGUCUUCCCAAACAGUGGUGAGACCAAGAUCCUAUAGCAAUCAAAAGACAAAAGAAAAAAAGAAAAGGUGAAAUACACUAAUAUUUUAGAAACCAAUUGUUAAGUGUUGACUAUUUUAACAUAUUCCAAGAGAAAAUUCUUAAAACCUGUCAUAAUUUUUCAAACUUUCUAGUAACUAUUAUAAAGACACAUGCAAAUAAAAAAUAAAAGGAACUAUAGGUAUCUGGUUUUACUUCUUAGAGGAAAAAAAUGUUUUUUCUUUUUUUUUAAGUUUAUUUAUUUUGAGAGAGAGAGAGAGAGAAAGAGAGAGAGAGAGAGAGAGACAGGGCAGAGAGAGAAUCUCAAACAGGAUCCAUGCUGUCAGCGCAGAGCCUGACAAGGGGCUCAAUCUCACAACCACGAGAUCAUGACCUGAGCUGAAAUCAAGAGUCAGAUACGCUUAACUGACUGAGCUCCCCAGGUACCCCCAACAAAAAAUUUUCAAUACAAUGAUGUUAGUAAAGGCUCCAAAAUCCUAUACUUCCUUAAUAUCCACUAGAAAAGACCACGUGGAGUAGUCCUACUAUGAAAAACAUGGUAUCACUGAAUUUUGAGAUCACAUUUUAUUUGACUUUAAAUAAUACGAUUGAAUCUGCUUAAUUUGAGAGUUCCAACAUAAAUUUAACUGUAGUAGGGGAGAAAAGUCAACAAAUGAAUUGCACGUAUAAUUAAACUCAAGUAUUUAUUGAGCAUUAACUCUUAAAAAAACACUAACUUUUAUACUGUAAAGAGAUAAAAAGAUGAAAAAGACAUGCUAUAGGCCCUCAGGGAGUUUAGAACAUGUUUCUAUGGAAUGUUGAAGGCAAUUAUGAUUUCAUUUAUAUACAUCAGAGAAACUACAGAUAUUCAGACACAUGACAUUUUAAAAACAGUUAUAAACAUAAAAAACUUCUCAAAAUUCUAAAUAUUUUGAUAUAAUAAAUCUCUAGCAUUUCUUGAUUUUGCAUUCAAGGUUUUUACUGGUUCCAAGUGACCUCAAAGGUCCAGUAUCAUCCAUCUAUUUCCAGCAGCAAAAGCAAAUCUCACUUGCUGAUUUACAGGCACUACUAACUUAGUGAUCAACACUGGUAUCUAGCUCAGUUUUGUUUUCUUUUCUUUUUUUUUUUUUAAUUUUUUAAAUUUUUUUGGAGGGGGUGCCUGGAUGGCUCAGUUGGUUAAGUGUCUGAUUCUUGGUUUCGGCUCAGGUCGUGAUCCCAAAGUUGUGGGAUCGAGCCCUGGGUCAGGGCUGUCUGUGCAGAGACUGCUUGGGAUUCUCUCUCUCCCUCUCUCUGCCUCUCCCCUGCUCACAUGCAUGCGCUCUCAAAAUAAAUCAAAUAAACUUAAAGAAAAUAAUAACAAAGAAUAAUUUUUUUAAGCUUACUUAUUUCGAGACAGAGACCAUGCAAGCAGGGAAGGGACUGAGAGAGGAACAGACAGAAUCCCAAGCAGGCUCUGCACUGUCAGUAGAGAGCCCGAGGUGGGUGGUGAACUGUGAGAUCGUGACCUGAGCUGAGAUCAAGAGUCAGACGCUUAACCAACCAAGUUACUCAGGCACCCCUGUUUUCUUUCUCUAUUCAAAUUCUUAUAAUGUAAUAAAAUACUGGUUUUGUUUGUAAACAAAACCUAAGAAAAUUAAAAUGCAGUAUGAGUGAUGGAGGGAAAGGGGCAGUAAUGAGGGGCUUUCAUUCCCAGCAGUGUAGUGAACUAGAUCCUUGAGCAACCUAUUGCUGAGAACUACAAAUGCCAGACUAAAUAUUUUCCAAAAUACUUUUAGAUGCUUUGAUGAAUUAGCAAGUAAGUAUGGCAGAUUUUAGAGGCCAAAGCUAAUAGUAACUGGAGCCCAGAAAACAUAUCUAUCAGUUUGCCUUUGAUGGCCUCAAGAAACACAGAAAACAGGAUUCAUCAAAAGGUGAAUUAGAAAUAAAUUUUCUGAGAUUCUAGUACUUUAUCGGUUAUAUGUGUUGCAAAUAACUUUCCCCAUUCCAGUACUGCUCUUUUCAGCCUCUGACUGGUUUAUUUUAAUGAACAAAAAUUCUUAAAAGACACUAAUCUUUUAUGAUUAAUGCUUUUUAUGUCUUCUUUAAUGUACUUUACAAAAGAAAUCAAAAUGGCUAAUAAAGAGGUUUGACCUCAUAAGUAAUCAGGAAAAUGCAAAUUAAAGCUAGAAGGAUGUAAUUUUACAUCUACCUAAGUUAGUGUAAUAGGAAGAAAAAAACAAACAAAACUAACCUGGAAAAAAUGGAUAUAAAAAAUUAUAACCCAAUAUUUUCAAUAGGGAAUAAUACGAAUAAGUACUUCACAAAAAAGAAAUAAAAACAGUAGUAUUUAACAAAAUCUGAACUAGUUCACCACUCUUUAUUUCUAGAAGGAAGUAAUGAAUUUUAAAAGUAUUGGUGGGGUGCUAGGUGGCUCAGUCAGUUAAGUGCCUUGAUUUCAGCUCAGGUCAAGAACUCUCGGUCUCACGGUUCCUGAGAUACAGUCCAGCAUCAGGGCUGUGCACUGACAGCAUGGAGCCUGCUUGGGAUUCCAUCUCUCUCAAAAUAAACUUAAAAAGAAAAAACAGUACAAGUAUUGGUAUAUUUGGAAAUUUCUGAGUCUCAGAACUUAACUCUCUUGACUCUCAAAACUAUAAGCUUCUUAAGGGCAGGAACUCUGCUGCCCUUUGCUUUGUUAAAUUUGCUUUGUUCAGGUAUAAAAGUGACUGUACUAUCCCACCUGCACCCCUCCCAAAAUUGUUAAAUACAUAGACAACUGACAAAAAAUGCAUGAAACUACUAAGUUCAGUAUUAAUUACCUUUCUGUGUUCUGACACUAGUAGCCUUAGCUGCAUUUCUAUUUCAUUACUUGUUACUGAAGCAUCAAUUGUAGAUGCACAUAGAGGGGGAAAGGGAGGAAGGGAUGUUGUAGCUCCUGGGGCACACACAGAUUUGAUUGCUUCUUCACUCAUGGGUUUCCAUUUGGAUUCAUCAUUCAAAUCAAACACACAUAUUUCUACUGAGUCAGAGGGCUGACAAUUUCCCAGGAACAUCUGAUGAUUGAAAACACAACCAAUUGUUCGAUAUGGGUACAAUGGCUUGGGCUGUUCAGCAACUGGAGAUUCAUCAGGAUUGACAGGUUUGUGGAUAUACCUAAAAGAAGUAAAUCAUAAUUUUAUAUAAUAAGAACUUAAAAAUUAAGAAGGCAGCAUCUUAUUGAGAAAGAAAAUUAUUUGAACACUUAAGGCCAUAACUAUUUCCCAAGACUAGAGUUUAAUAUUUGUUUUUCCUUCUUAUAUUUCUACAAUUACUCUAUCUACAGUAAUUGUAUGGCACAUAGUAUGAUAUAAAAAUCAACUCUACUCAGGGGGCACUUGGGUGGCUCAGUUGGCUAAGCAUUCGACUUCGGCUCAGGUCAUGAUUUCACGGUUCGUAGGUUCCAGCCUCGCAUCAGGCUCUGUGCUGACAGCUCAGAGCCUGGAGCUUGCUUCAGAUUCUGUGUGUCCCUCUCUCUCUGCCCCUUCCCCACUCCUGCUCUGUCUGUCUCUCUCAAAAAUAAAUAAUAAACAUUAAAAAAUUUUUUUUAAUCAACUCUACUUUAACAUGAGAAUAUAUUCUAUGUAUAAUCAUUAAGAUCAAAAACAUUCAUCUCAGAUAAUACAAUUAAAAUAAUUUAGCUACAUAUUAUUAGGCAUAACUAACCAAAAUGAUUAUCAACCAGGGAAAAAUUCAGAAAAAGAAGAAGAUGGCCCAGGGCUGAGCCUUUAAGAACUCCAACAUUUAAAGACAAGAUAAAGGAAAAUUGAGAAUAGCCAGACAGGAAUAAUGAAAACUGAAAGUUCUAUGGGAGAAGUUAAGGAAAGAAAUGAUCCUAGCAAGGAGGAAGCACUGAACUCUAAAAAAUAUGAUGACAGAAAAACUAAAAAAAAAAGUAUACAGUGGAUUUACCAAUGUGGAGUUGGUGAUAUCAAAUUUUCAAAAGAAAUCAUGAUUUACAACCUGAGCUUAUUUUUAGGCUUGGGGAAAAACAUCAGAAAAAGAGUAUCCCAAUUACACAAUUAAAAGUAAAAUGUAAUUUUUUUUUUCCACCAAAAUCAUGUUGGUAAAGAAUAUUCUAGGUAUAUGAAUUUUCUUCAAAUUUAACAGCUUUUUAACUAUAGUAAUUUUUUACGUAGUCAUCAAAAAGGAUCCAAUAAUAAAAAUUAUCGGUAUGUGCCUUUGGGUACCAAUAUAAACAAAGAACUUAUAAUUUAAAACAUAUGCAUCUUCAUUUUAAUAUCCUUGUAAGCUGAAUUGACAAACCUGUGUCCCGUUAAACUCUCCCAAAAAGUGACAGUUCCAUCAGUUCCACAGGUCAUAACCCAUGCAUGAGGUAUUCCUUUUGCCUUAGUCCCAACACACACAAAGGCUUCUAAUCCAUAUCCAAGAAGAAGGCUGCACAGAAGAUUAGCAUGAUCUUCACAGUCACCCUAGAAAAUGAAAUGAAUUUAAGUAUUUAUUCCUUCACAUUGUUUCCUCAUCAAAUAUUCAAAUACAAAAUUACAAUAAAAGGGAAUAUUAAUUUUUUCACUUUUAAUCAUAAGUCUAGUAUUAAGCUGAAACAAUGGUGGGGGGACAAAAUACACUAAUUUUAGAAGACCCUAAAUUAUUUUACACAGUCAGUGCUCACAAACCUGAUAGUCAUAACAUGUAUACUUUAAGAGAGGGCUUUCAGGGGUGCCUGCCUGGGUGGCUCAGCAGGUUAAGCGUCUGACUUCAGCUCAGGUCAUGAUCUCAUGGUUCAUGGUUCAGAAGUCUGAGCCCCACAUUGGGCUCUGUGCUGACAGUUCAGAGCCUGAAGCCCACUUUGGAUUCUGUGUCUCCCUCUCUCUUUGUCCCUCCCCUGCUCGCCCUCUGUCUCUCUCUCUAAAAUAAAUAAACAUUAAAAAAAUUUUUUUUUUUAAAAAGAGAGCUUUCAUAUCAAAAGUUUAUAAAAACUCAUAAAACAUAGAUAGAAAUGCAGCAAGAUUUAAAGAUGAUUAGCUAAAGGACAUGAACAGACAAGAUGACAAAUGAUACACUAAGAAAUGCAAAUACAUGGGAAAAUACUCAAAACAAUGAGUUACAGUAUCCAUAUGUAAUCAUCUUAAGGCAAUAAAUACUAGGAAAAAUGAGAGAACAAAAUGCCAACAGUGGCAAUAAUUAUGGUAGAUUAUAUAUAAUUUUCCCUUCUAUUUUCUAAAUUUUCUUUGACAAUGUUUUAUUACUUUCAAAUCUUAAAAAUGUUAUGAAAACCACAAAAAUAGAAUAUAUUUUAUAUUCUAUAAAAAAAUCAAAAUAUUAAACAGUAAGGAUGCAAUUAUAUUAAGAUAUGUAUUUAAGUGUAGGACUGUGGGUAAUUAAUAUACAAAAGCAAAAAUAACAAGUUCAGGGUUAGCAUGGGGGAUGAUUUCUUUCCCCCCAAAUUUUGUAUUAGUGGCUCUGCACUGAUUUUUUUUAAUGUUUAUUUAUUUUUUGAGAGAGAGAGAGAGACAGAGUGUGAGUGGGGGAGGGGCAGAGAGAGAGAGGGAGACACAGAAUCCAAAGCAGGCUCCAGGCUCCGAGUGUCAGCACAGAGCCUAACGUGGGGGUUGAACUCACAAGCUGUGAGAUCAUGACCUGAGCCGAAGUCAGCGGCUCAACCAACUGAGCCACCCAGGUGCCCGUGCACUGCUGGUUUUUUUUAUUAACUAUACUAAAACCAAUAGCAUUUUAAAAUCAUUAAUUGACUUUUGAAAAAUAUAAUAUCCAUCUUUUACACCCAAUUUCUAUACUGAGAUUUUAUAGUUUAAAAAUUUCAAAGGAAAAAUAAUACUCCCAAAGAUAUUCAAUGAAAAAUUUACUCACAAGAACAUCAAAAAAUUGGAAGCAAGCCUACUGUAGCCAAGAGAAACAAUUACUACAAUGGCAAAAUAGUUAAGUAGAUUUUGUAUGUCAACUAAAGAAAACCUUAUACGGACAACCAUUUUAAAAUGGAGAUCAUAAAAAUUAUAGCAACACAUGGAAAAAUGUUCAUAGCAUAAUGUUAAAUUAUAAUGUAUAAAUUACAGGGCACAAAAUUUUAUUUAUAUCUCAAUUAUAAUUAUAGAAAGAAUGAUAAAUACACAGGAGAAAAAUAUAAAAAUAUAAGAAGAGAUGAAAAACCGGCAAUAGAAUUAUAUGUGAAAUUGCACCUUUACUCUUGUAAUGCUGCUGUUUGUGCAAGAAUAACUUUUUCAAUAAUUUUCAAGAUUCUAAUUUUAAGAUAUUCUUUCUCUUUAAACAAACUCAGGCGAACAUAAUAGUGAAUCAAAGGGAUGAUUAUUUGCUUUGCAAAAGCAUUUUUUACAUAAUAAUUUUAAAUAUGUACCAUUCCUACUAUAUUUGAAGUUAAAAAGCUAAAAUCCAUAAACACAACUUUUGGAAACCACAGCUUGAGAAUAAAUCAAAAUAAUUUUUUUAUAAUGUUUAAGUUUUCAAUUGUUUUUAAGGUAAAAUCCUUCUGACAAAUCAAUCUCUAAUCAUAAAUAGGUUCUACUGGAUAAGCUUUGCCUUGUGAAUGAAUACUCAUACUAUUUAUACAACCUCAAACUAAACAAAAUUAUUUCAAAACAAUAAAGAAAUUUCUUUUCUUCUGUUUUGGUAGAACUGGAAUGCUUACAGAUGCUCUCAUUUUUAUAUUAUCAAAAUUUUUAGAACACAGAUUAGGAAAUAUCACACACAAUCUAUAAAAUUAGUUUACUGAAAUCAAUUCAUUUAACAUCAAUAAACUUACACAAUUUUUUAAAAUAAAAAUCAACAAUGUGUCUUUUUUAAAAAAAAUUGUAAUGUUUAUUUUUGAGAAAGAGAGAGACACACAGCAUGAGUGGGGGAGGGGCAGACAGAGAGGAAGACACAGAAUCAGAAGCAAGCUCCAGGCUCCAUGCUGUCAGAACAGAGCCCCACGUCAGAUUUGAACCCAUGAACUGCGAGAUCAUGACCUGAGAUCAACUCAGACGCUCAACUGACUAAGCCACACAGAAACCCCUACACAAAUUCUUAAAUAUAUGCUUAUAUUUGAACUAAACACAAUACCAUGCAAUCCAAGACUUUUUUCCAUAUUCACUUUGUCCUGCCAUUUUCUCUUUUAAAAAAAAUGUAUCAUCGGGGCGCCUGGGUGGCGCAGUCGGUUAGGCGUCCGACUUCAGCCAGGUCACGAUCUCGCGGUCCGGGAGUUCGAGCCCCGCGUCAGGCUCUGGGCUGAUGGCUCAGAGCCUGGAGCCUGUUUCCGAUUCUGUGUCUCCCUCUCUCUCUGCCCCUCCCCCGUUCAUGCUCUGUCUCUCUCUGUCCCAAAAAUAAAUAAACGUUGAAAAAAAAAAAAAAAUGUAUCAUCUAAGUAGAUUUUAACACAUGAAUAGUUCUGGUCCCAGCGCCAUCUCUAAUUCACUGUUUAAUUUACCUCUAUAUCUUAAUUUCUGACACUAUACUACUUGUCUCUACCUCACAAAAAUCAUAUUACACUAAAUAAGAAGCUAUACAAGAAAAUAAAGAUGCCAAGGUUUUUCCUUAUGUAUUGAAAACAAAAGAUUCUGACUAGUUCAAACGGACAAUAUAUCCAUUUUUCUAAGUUAAUUAUUUUCAAACGCAAUAAAUUCACAAUAAUGAAGAUGUACUGGUUUUCAAUUCUAUUACAUAUGUAGGAUACCUUGUUUCUACAGAGAAAGGCCAGCAGAGUGCACCACUGUUCCUGUUUACCUCCUCCUCCAAUAACCGGGGCUCUUUCAUAACCAAGGACAUUAACAAAUCUUGCUGCUUGCCUUGGAGUAUCCAAAAGCCUCCCAGCUCGAAGUGGUUUAAUAUAGGAACAGACUGGUCUAUUUAUCCCAUUUUCAUCCUGGGGGAAGAGGGGAAAACACUGUAAUGACAGAUUAAUC
rnacentral:lncRNA from 1 species